AGGGUCCCACAGGACCCCCUCAAGUGUCCCACACCCUCUACCCAUUCCCCACCUGCUCCAAACACAAACUUUCUGCUCUCCUGAGUCUUGUGUGCAAUGCCUGCCUCUUGUGCUGCUUUGCAGGGUCUUCUCCUGGGCCAGAACCUCUGUUGGGACUUUCAAAGGCUCAGCAAAGCCCUAGGCUGUGUAACACCCAGGGUUUAUGCCAUGUGCAUGCCUGCCAUGAGCUUUUGAAACGUCUUUGCUACAUAGGAUGAAUCUCUGUUGCUCUCUCUACUUCUGUAGGCAGACACUUGAGCUAUGCCAGCAGAUUAGUCACUGUAAGUAAUGCCUUCCUGUCUAUAUAACACUUAUCUUCCCUGACAUAGCUCAUUGUAUUUUUCCUGAAUUGAAUUUGUAAACCUUCUGGGGCGGUUUGCACACAAACACAAGGUAUUGCUGCAUCUCACUUUGAAUUGAGCCAAGUCUGCUGCUGAGAUGCAUAUUAAUAAUUAGUGUAAAUCUGCAGUGAGCCUUCUGUGGGUAAUGAUGUCUAUGGUGUUUGUGCAAACCUUGAAAAUUCUCUGCACAUGUUCUAGUUACCCACUGUUGGACAUGAUGCAAACCCCAUAGCUCUUCCUCAUUUAUUUUUAGUGCCUUCAGAGAAAGCAAAUUGUAAAUUUCUUUUGGGAAGACUAAUACUGCAAAUCGCCCAUGAGAUAGGCAGUUGACCUUCAAACAGGUUAUUGCAUAUGCCCUGCAUGAGGUCUUUCCAGCUGAAGUGGUAAAAGGUAGAGUCCUCAGAUCCUGCUGGUAGGGACCUGUCUUUGUCAUCUGCUUGAUGCUGCAGAGGGUGAACUGCUCCUCAUGUUCUCUGCCUCUGCUGAAGUGGUGGAUUAAGGGCAUCUGCCAUUAUCUAGACCCUCCAGUCCAUAAAAGAUGGAAAAUAAAAAGCAAACCCAACCUCUUCUGGUAAUUCAAUUUAGGAUUAAGGUUUUGAUGAAAAGAUAAUGCAGUAAACAUGAACAUUUUAAAAAUUAAUCCUGUGAUAAGUAUACACUUUUUGUCAAAACAAUAUUUGUUAUAGUUUAAUCCAUCAGCAAAGUAAAGUUUGACUGCCAGUUACCAUGUUUCAUCAUAUCAGUCUUGGCUUCUCUGUAAGUGUCACGGUGUGAGUACAGCACCCUGGGAAGGUAAAUACUGAUGUGAUUGCCAUGGAAGACUUCAGUUCUUCAACAACACAUGCUUUGGGUUUUGCCCUGUGGCAGACUUUGGGGUGGUGGAAAUACAUGAGUAUGUAUUAACUGAAAACCAAGGAACACUAACACGCACUUACGAUGUGUCAUGCUGUGGAGUAUUACCCCUCCAGUACUGGUUCCAUCUUCCAUUAGUAUAAAUAUUUCUUGAGCCAACUUUAAAUCCAAGCAAGCUACAUCAUUAAUCUGCACUUCAUCCAGCUACUGCAGUAGGAGUCUGGAUCUGCAAACUUUUGGUUUGUAGAGAAAGAAAAACAACUUGAUGCCUGCUGAGAUGUCUUAGUGUAUUUUCAUAUAAAUGUAAAAAGGCAUCUUGGUACUAAUUCAAGAUAUCUGCUUAAUCUGAAUAUUAGUUUGAGAAGGGAUGUCUGAAAAGAGUCAAAUCAGGUUUCCCAUUCUUUUUCCCUUCAUGCUGGUACAGGCUGUUUAUUAUGGAUGCUGCACUGCAUUUGUGUUUUGAACCAAUUAAGCUGCCCCCUUCUCCAACUGAAGCUUGUACAAAUGUUGCUGUGCAUGACCACCAAAUGUCACUGCCGCUUAGCACACUCAACACAGUUAGCUGAUUUAUGUUUUAUUAUAGUAUUAAAUUGAUUAUUUAUACAUUAUUAUAGCAAGAUCAAUUUAAUGCUGUAAUAAACUUGGUAUUGAGCAUAGUUUAAGACAUGUCAAAGUAUAAAAAUAUGCAUAUGGCUGGACAUUUCUGAAUUGCAGGAAUGUGAAUUGGACAGCGAGUAAAAACUGAAAGCUGUUUGCGACAUUUAAUGACCAUAUUAACAUCCAUAAUAGUAAAUGACCAGGUAAUUAAGGUGGAAAAAAAAUCUCAGCAAAAAUGGUGUAGGCAAUUACUAUAAUGUCAUGAAAGUAAAAGAACUCAUCCAACUUGAGAAGGGGGGAUCUCAGGUUGUCCAAGUAAAUCGAUUAUUCAUAUUCUUAAUGUCUCAUUUAAGUAUCUUUAGCUGUACUGUGUAGCAUAUGAACUGGUAUGCAAGACCAUUUUAAGAGAUGCGGAGAAUUAUAAACUCCACUGAGUAAUGCAGAAAUAUAUCUAGAGGUGAUACAUGUA